rnacentral:rRNA from 1 species
CGAACGCUGGCGGCGUGGAUAAGACAUGCAAGUCGAACGGGACAUUGCUUGUAGCAAUACAAGUAAUGUCCAGUGGCGCAAGGGUGUGUAACACGUGGGCAAUCUACCGAAAAGUGGGGAAUAGCUCGCCGAAAGGCGAAUUAAUACCGCAUGUGGCCAAAGAAGACCUCUUCUGGCAGCCAAAGCUGGGGCAACCUAGCGCUUUUUGAUGAGCCCGCGGCCUAUCAGCUAGUUGGCGGGGUAACAGCCCACCAAGGCUAUGACGGGUAGCUGGUCUGAGAGGACGACCAGCCACACUGGAACUGAGACACGGUCCAGACACCUACGGGUGGCAGCAGUCGAGAAUUUUUCUCAAUGGGGGAAACCCUGAAGGAGCGACGCCGCGUGGAGGAUGAAGGUCUUCGGAUUGUAAACUCCUGUCAUUCGAGAACAAGGCCUGCGAAGUAACUGUCGUCAGGCUCGAUAGUAUCGAAAGAGGAAGGGACGGCUAACUCUGUGCCAGCAGCCGCGGUAAUACAGAGGUCCCAAGCGUUGUUCGGAUUCAUUGGGCGUAAAGGGUGCGUAGGUGGCGUAGUAAGUCGGGUGUGAAAUCCCGGGGCUCAACCCCGGAACUGCACUCGAUACUACUGUGCUCGAGUACUGGAGAGGAGACUGGAAUUUACGGUGUAGCAGUGAAAUGCGUAGAUAUCGUAAGGAAGACCGGUGGCGAAAGCUAGUCUCUGGACAGUCACUGACACUGAGGCACGAAGGCUAGGGGAGCAAACGGGAUUAGAUACCCCGGUAGUCCUAGCAGUAAACGGUGCGCGUUUGGUGUGGGAGGAUUCGACCCCUUCCGUGCCGGAGCUAACGCGUUAAACGCGCCGCGUGGGGAAUACGAUCGCCAGAUUAAAACUCAAAGAAAUUGACGGGGGCCCGCACAAGCGGGUGGAGUAUGUGGCUUAAUUCGAUGCACGCGAAAAACCUUACCUGAGCCAGACAUGCAUCUCUAAACCGGAGAAAGCGAGCGAGGCGAUCAAUCCACAAUUCGCACAGGUCAUGCAUGUCGUCAGUCUAGCUUGUGUCGAGAGAUGUUGGAUUAAGUCCCGCAGCGAGCGCAACCCGAUUUGUUACUAUCCACCAUCAAGGUCGGCACUCUAACAUGAGUGCCGACCUUUAAGUCGGAGGAAGGUGGGGAAGACGUCAAGUCCUCCUGGCCCUUAUGUCCAGGGGUACCACCGUGAUACCAUGGUCCGUACCAAGGGUAGCGAACUCGCGAGAGGGAACCAAUUUCAAAAAGCCGGCCUCAGUACAGAUAGGAGUCUGCAACUCGCCUCCUUGAAGUCGGAAUCGCUAGUAAUCGCUGAUCAGCAAGGCAGCGGUGAAUACGUUCCCGGGCCUUGUACACACCGCCCGUCACACCAUGGGAGUCGAUUGCUCCCGAAGUGCGUGAGCCAACCGCAAGGAGGCAGCCCUCCAAGGAGUGAUCGGUAACUGG